CCACCAACCAAGCACACCACACUACAUCACACCACACAGGCCCCCCAGUCUCACACACACACACACACACACACACACACACACACACACACAGAGCCCUAAUCACGUCUGAAAACGCCUUUCCACUGCCAGUGAAGCUGAAAAUAUCUUCAUAAACAAGGUUAGACUUCAGACGAAUUCCAGGCCUUUGAGGUCUCAGUGUACAUACCUCAUGCAUCAAAGGUCAAAGGCCAAUAGCCUCAAGCAAAAGGAACACCCAUGACAAGAGGACUGUUCAAAUAACCCUGAAAUUCCAGGUUCCCAGGUCAAAAAGAUGGAGAGGAGGAAAAGGAUAAAGAGGAGAGGCAGUGAGAGGAGAGGUGUGUCUGGUGAGUCUCUUCACAUGGAGCUGUAAGGUGCUGUGGCCUUCAGGCAGAGACAGAGGCUCCUUCACAUUCUUCCACUCUUCUGUGAGAUGCAGGGUCAAACGGAGUGCAGGAUGUCACUAAAGAGAAAAAAAGAGAAAGAUCAGAAAAAACAGCCACCCAGUGAGAGAGAGAGAAAGAGAGAGAGGUGGGGGAAGAGAGGAUGGAAGUCUAAAACUAGUCCAUCUAGUUCCUCUGUGUCAAUAUGGUUGUCGUUCCAUUACCUCAGUGUACCAGAACAUCUUAUCUCUCUCUCUGUACCAUGUCUUCUGUCUGUUCUCAUUUAUGUCUUUGGUCACUUUUUUUCCUCUCAUGCUUUCUACAUACAUUUCUGAUCUAACCUGAAAACACAAAAAAAGGCAUAUUUAGCCUCUGUAUUGACAUUUGUAUUGUACAAUGUAGCCUUGUAGAAAAGUCACAUAAGCUUCACAUGUUAACAAUCAUGUUCCACAUGUGCAGUUUCAGAGCAUAAAUCUUUUUCACAUGAUCAAUUAAAUAAUCG
ensembl:lncRNA